AUCAAAAACAGCUCCAGAAAGACUACCCGGAUACAGUGCAUUCAGAAACCAAAAUUCAAAAAUCACUACCAUUUUGAGAUCCAAAAUUCAACACCAAAUAACACUUUUUGUAAGUUUCUAAGAACCAGGAUGAAUCUUCAUAAUGACUUAAAACUUCAGAGUUCCAAUUUUAAAACCCACACCCCUAAUCGCAAGGGACAAUGAUCCAUACCAUUGAUAUCAGGCAGAACUAAAAACAGAAAAGAAAAAAGUAUGAUCACACUCAAAAUCCAUUCCAAAGCAACCACACUAAUUUACAACAGCUAUUAUAUCAUCAGACUAAGCCUUUAAUGAAUUAGUUAUUCCUUAUUGAGGUCCCCAGAACAGCAUAAAAUUAUCAAGAAGAAAUGACUGGAACCAGUAACAUCUAAAAGCACACCAAAUCCACUACCCAACAUAAAUUGGUUUGUCAGUAUCCAAAUUGCAGAGCGUAGAACAGAACAAGGGACAGAUAAUUGCGAACAUUUCCAUUGAAAUAGAACAAAACCCUAAAAACGAAACAGACCCUAAAGCAUAAUAGUUUUGGCAACAGGCAUGUGAUAUCUCAAUAAGUCCCAGCUCACACCAUAUAAACAUGGUACCAAGAUCAAAUGCUAUGAACUCUCUCACAGUAAGCAGCCCAUGCAUUAACAGAGACUUUUCCUUU
rnacentral:lncRNA from 1 species